GCAGGAACCAUGGGAGGGUUGUGGCUUUUGGGUGUUUGUGCAGUUGCAGUAUGGCUUAAAGGGUUUUGUUUACCAAUUGAUCAUAAUGGAGGAAAACACAAUGAGCCAUGGAGGAUUGGGAACUCCUUGUCCCAAAAUGAAAUUUCUCUGAGGAAACCGGUUGCUUUGCUCCAGUCAAUGGAUUCCAGGUUGCAGGGAAAAACAAAAGAAGUGCAACUGGAAACCAAUGAAGUGGAUGUGUCAAGCGACGCCUCCCACAACGUGUCAAGCGACGCCUCCCACAACGUGUCAAGCGACGCCUCCCACAACGUGUCAAGCGACGCCUCCCACAACGUGUCAA